GAGAUCCAUUACGUCCCCGGGAUGAGUUUAGAUGAAUGAAGGCUAUGGGAUUGCAAACGAAGGAAACUGGCUUUACAGAUAAACAGACGCUUUAUUAAUGGGAAGGAGUUUAAAAGAGCAUAACCUCUUGGGGCUGUGUCUACUGUAUGAGCACCGCUGCAUUGCCGCUUCAGAGCAGAGUGGAGAAAGCAGUCUUUCAGUAUCUCUGGACAGCUCGUACACACGGAAUGGCUAGAGUAUGCAGCGGGGCAAUUGGAGGCAGACCACGAGGCAGUGAUUGGCCUGUAUUUGAUAGGAUAGCUGAGCAGUCUUGAAAGGGGAGGAAGAGAGGCAAUGACAUGCAGCAAAGGGCCGCAGGUCUGAAUCAAGCCUGAGCCUCUGUACAUGCGGCACACGCUCAACCAGUGAGGGACGCCAGAAGCAGCAGCCUCCUUUUCCACUCCAGUAGACCCUAUCACUGCUGCACCCGUGGGCCAGGACCCGGCAGCACGGCUGCAGCUGAGACCAGGGCAGAGGGGGAACAGGGCAGAGGGAACAGGCAAGCAGCUAGAGGGGAAAGCAGCACCAGGAGGACGGUGAUGGAUGAACAGUACUCCACAGGAUCAAUCGGGCACUCGUUGCCACAGCAGAUCAUCUAAUGUACUGCUGCACCAACUCGUCCCUGCCCCCCAUAAACCACAUCACCCCCGCAGCCUAUAUGGCACCUUUUUGCCAGAUAUAUAGAGAGAGGCAGACUGAAAACAGAGCAAGGAAGGACACAUGAGAGGGAAAGUGAGCUGGU